UAUGUUUGAGAAAUUGAAGUAAUAGCAUUUCUAAGGUAUUUGAAUAACGCGCCACGUGAUUCCACUGGCUGUUGAGUAGGUGGGACGAUUUCGUCCCACCUACCCUAGAGAGGCUAAUUUACAAAUUGACAAGCGCUAUUGCUAUUCAGGAAAAAGGUAGAUGUUCCUCUUGGAACUGACAGGUUGAACAUCGUUGUUCAAUGUUUGAUUGUGUAAGGUGCUAAUAAAGUUGUAUUCCAGCCACUCUGGUGAAGCCCAUGGGAAAUAAAUAAAUAGUUUAAGUGAACUGGGGAGAGUAAGAAUGAAAAAAAAAGACUAAACGGCUGUUACCUGUGCUAACGAUUACAAGUGAAGUAAACCGUACUUUUAAGCUCAUUGGAAGGGUAACAAAUUUGGAGGCUCCGUUGAGAUUUAUUUUCAUGUGAGCACCGGCCCAUAUUCCUGGAACGGACAACGAGUGAGAGACAUUGGGAGAGUAGCUAGGUAGCUAGCUAAUGGUAGCAGGCUAACCACCUAACAGAGUGUAGCUAUCUUGCCAUUGCCUGCAUUGUCGUUGUGGCCACGUGAGUAGGACAAUAUGAGUCGAGAGAGGGAAACGUUGUUGGAUGAAAUCAAACAGAGCUUAUGGACUUUAACUGAGGACAAUUUACAGCACUUGUGUACGUUGUGGAAUAGGAGGUGUAACGUAAACUCACCCCAUUCCGUACAAAUGUGCGCAACCGCAACAUUCAAACGAGGCUGCAAAGAAAACUAAUGGGACUAUAGCGAGUGUGACUUCAAAAUCUGGGGUUGAACUACGUUUCUAUUCAAGCGUUGAUCGACAUGGUAAUGGCUCUAUAGUAUUGGAGAAAAGUUGGAAAAAAACUGACCCUCCGUUACAUCGUGACGUGUCAUGCAGUAACGUACAGCACGCGUAAAGCAACUAUUUCUGUCUUACAAUCUCUCUCCACCCGGUGUAGCACUUCUCUCAUUGUUUAAAAACAAGAAAUGGACAGUGACUGGGGUAAGGGGGGAUACCUAGUCAUUUUUUGCGUCAUCACUGCAAGCGAUCAUGACUCUCAAAAGACAAUGUUUACUUCUGAAGAUCACUUUAGCACGGGAAUCAUGAAGGUCUCGUCAUUAGUUUUGUUGGAAAGGGGAGGAAUUGUGCUUUACAUUGGUAUUGGUAUUACAGUUGAUCUGGAAGUAUUAUGUUUUUGGGGUGCUAAAAUAAGGUCAAUUGUACGGACCAAGGCGAUGUACAAAAGUGAGUGAGUUUACGUUAGAUGACUGAAGUAAUAGGAAAGAGCCAUCGUGCUUUGCGGCGCAAAUUGAUGGAAGAUUACUGUGAGAAGGAGGAUUUAAUGGAAUCAGAGGAUGAGGGAAUGUCUUGGCUGCUUCAACGGAAAGACGAAAUCAAAGUAAUAUCAGACUCUGAAGAUACUGUGAAAAGUCUGCCUACAAGUUCCAGCCAGUCGGCGCCAACGAGGCAAGUGGACAGCGAAAACACGGGAGCUGCGGCAGAACGAAAAGAGGGAGGGGCUCCUCAGCCAAGCAGAGAAGUGGUCUCAGCUCUAGAAAGGAACCCACCACAGAGAGAGAAUGAAAUUUCAAGGACCCUUUUAUCCUGCAUGUUGAUGCCUCCGAAGAGGGAUUGGGAGGUGUGUUAUACCAACGACAAAGUGUCUGAGAGUCAUUGGAUAUGGCUCCCGCACCCUGACUCAAGCAGAGAGAAACUAUCCCCUUCACUCUGGGAAACUGGAAUUCUUGGCCCUCAAAUGGGCAGUGACUGAGCGGUUCCGAGAUUACCUAUUUUAUGCUCCCUCUGUGACAGUGUACAGUGAUAAUAACCCCUUGACAUAUGUACUAACUACAGCAAGACUGAAGUAUCGUCCUGGAAAGGUAAACACUCACGCAGACUUUGUCAUGCUCUCCUUUGCAUGCUGAACAUUACAUGGAAGAAUGCACAGAGAAACACUCACUUGAAAUGGUAAAAGCAACACUCAAUAAUGUUCAGACACAACAGAAUGACUGUGUAACGUGGAUAUCCACAGUCAUACUAAGGCCAUCAGUGCAAGAUGAGCUGUCAUGGUGGGGGGGAACAGUUACAGACCAACUGUCUCCACACGAUAUCAUGCAGGCUCAGUUAAAGGAUGCAGCUGUAUCGAGAAUCUUGGAACUGAAAAGUCAAAGGACUAAGCCUAAACCAACAUAAUGUCAACAAGUCAUACAAAGUCAAACAGUUACUGCAAGAGUGGAACAGGCUCCAUGUCUCACCAGAUGGAUUAUUACAAAGGAAAACAGCAAAAAGGACACAAGUUGUGGUACCAAGUCAGUAUAGAACACUGAUUUACAAGUACUUACACACUGAAAUGGCUCAUCUAGGAACAGAAAGUGUUGAACUUAGCACGAGAACGCUUUUAUUGGCCGCGCAUGCAACACGACAUUGAACACUUUAUUACCAAAGUGUGUAAGUGUAUCAAACAAAAGAAACCCAGUGUAAUAACUAGGGCCCCAAUGCAACAUGUACGAGCUACAGCUCCUUUCCAGAUGAUUUCAAUUGACUAUGUGCAUUUGGAGAAAAGCAGAGAGGGCUACGAGUACAUUUUAGAUAACUUUACAAAAUUUGCACAAGCCUACCCCACCAGAAAUAAGUCAGGGAAAACUGCAGCAUAAAAGCUUUGAUGAUUUUUUUGUGUCAAAUCCAUCAUGAUCAGGGAAGAGAGUUUGAAAAUCAGUUAUUUAGAGACUUGCAGAACUGUACAGGAAUAGCCCAUUCCAGAACCUCUCCAUAUCAUCCACAGGGGAAUCCGGUGAAGAGAUUUAACCAUACACUUGUCAAUGUUGCACACACUAGAUGAAGAGAAAAAGGCCAACUGGGGUGAUUAUCUGAACAAGGUCAUUCAUGCAUAUAAUUGUACCACCAGUGAUGCUACUGGGUUCUGACCGUAUUUCCUGCUAUUUGGAAGGGCUCCACUGCUACCUGUUGACCUUGUCUUUGAGUUACAGAUAAAGGAACAGGAGAAAUCAUACCAGAAUUAUGCUAAGAAGUGGCAGCCACAGAUGGCGGAAGCCUAUGAUGUCGCCAGUAGAAACAUGGAGAAAUCAACAGCAAAGGGAAAAGCCUACUACGAUCGGGAAAAAAUGAGUUCGGUUCUGGUCUCAGGGGAUCGUGUACUGGUGAGGAACAUGUCAGAACGUGGGGGGCCGGGAAAGCUAAGAUCACACUGGGAGGACCAAAUACAUGUGGUAACCAGGAAAAGUGAUGACAGCCCUGUCUGAGGUCACACCCGAGAGGGGUACAGUCAGGGCCCGGGUUCUGCAUCGCAAUAUGCUCAUGUCAUGUAAUUCCCUACCAUUUGAGGAACCUGUUGAAACACCCAGUAGGUCUGUGGAGAAGGAAACCACCACAGCAAAAGCGGCAAAAUGGGGAGAGCGCUGAGUCAGAGCUCAGAUGAGGAUUCUUAUCCAGUUUAUCAAUAGGCCACAAGGGGAUGAAGAGAGCAGACAGUAGCACACAGCUAGUAUCAGAUAAUGAGGAACAGGGUCAGACUGAUAGAAACUUCACUGUGAAGGAGUGCCAGCCAGUCCUCCGAGAGAGGACAGGGGCAAAUAUGGAAACAGCUGAGGGCUCAGAGAUUCAAUCAGUUCAUGAAGUGGACACUGAUUCAUUGGGAUCACCCAUGAGCUUGCCCCGCCGUUCAGCCCGGCAGAGGAGGCCCAGAGACAUUCUAACCUAUAACACUUUAGGGCUGCCAAGCUCUUAUCAGGAUACCAACUAGAGAUGUUCUGAUGCGUAUAUAUUUUUUCGUUUACCUUUACGAAUCAGUGUGAUAAUGUUUAGUGGGGGUUGCGUCUUUGCCCACAAAGGCAGACUGGACAUGUCUAGAUAGUUAUGGCUGUUAGGCCAGUUUUCUCCGUUGUUCGCAUGACCAGUACUUGAGGCCAGUGAAAUAUUUGGAACAUUUAGUUUUUGCAGGGGUGGUGUUGUAAGGUGCUUAAUACAGUUGUAUCCCAGCCACUAGGGGGUACUCUGAAACCCAUGGGAAAUAAAUAAAUAGUUUAAGAGAAUUGGGGAGAGUAAGAAUGAAAAAACAAGACUAAACAGCUGUUACCUGUGCUGACAUGAUUAAAAGUGAAGUACACCAUA